GCCUGGGUGGCUCAGUCAGUUGAGCAUCUGACUUCAGCUCAGGUCAUGAUCUCCGGGUUCAGUUCAUGAGUUCGAGCCCCACAUCGGGCU
rnacentral:tRNA from 1 species